CAUAACACAAGCAUGUGUCAGAAUUAUAUAGCCACAGGUAUUUUUUUAAAACCUUUCCCUAAAGGGAAGGGAGUCCAGUAGCCACAGGGUCCCAUGCAUGCCCAAAGUGUGGAGAAUAAAAACGUGGCUCAACGAAGAGACUGGUUCCCCAGAAACCUCAGCCUAUGAGCUGGAUCUCAAAGCCCUCUCGACUCUACUCCUCUCUGCCUCCUGGAACAGGGGGCCUCCAGGAAUAAACAAGAGGACCUGAGGAGGACUCUGGGUUCUCUGGGGGAAAAAAUGCCUUUGUUAAAUUUAAGGCAAUUAUGUUCUUGUGAUUUGUAUAGGCUAUUAUAUUUUGUGGUUUUCAUUUUUAUGAAUCAGGGUAUUGAUAGAUAGUAUGAGGCUAGAAGGUCCAGGCAGAGCAUUAGACCGAGCGCUAGUCUCUUCAACAACAAAGCCAAACAAGUGACUGAUGGGUUUCAGCAGGCCCUCCCUAGCCACUCAGAGCCCCAGGAAUGGUGAUUCCCUGGGAUCUCCAUCAGGCAGCCUCAUCUGAGUACCCAGAUCCAAUGAAAUACCAGGCAAAGCCCAAAUCUGCAGCUCAGGUUCACUGAACAAGGAUCUGGGAUGUAGCUCAGGGACAUCUGAGCAGGUAAAUGGAGUCAGGCAUCAGGCCAGUGCUCACUGACCAACCUGCUCCAGGGGCUCUCCUCAGUUCUCUUCUCACCUUCUAGAUGGUUUCUCUGCCCUGCCCUGAGGGUUUCUAGAUGCGAUUAUUUACUUCUAAAUGGGAUUCCCUUAUUUAUCAUGUAAGCACUGUGGCCAGUACAUCCCACCUCUUGGAGAGUUGCCCCAAGAGAAAAAAAUAGAAAGAAUCAACCCUUAAAGGAGUAGGUUAGCCUUUGGAGGAAGCCCAUCCUUGCAGAAGGCUUACAGAUAAAUCACUGGGGACACAGAGAAGCCCCGUCAAAGUAUCCAGGUCUCCCAUCAGGCUAGGAACUUGACUAAAGAAAUAUAUAACCUGAGCCACUGAGAUGCCCAGGCUGAUAGAAAGUGUGACCAGAAAGGCAUGGGGUCCUCAUGAAGCCCAGCAAAUCUGGAAGACUUGGCCGUCUUUCUUGCCUCCCUAAGCAGCCCUUUGGUUGUUAGGAAAUGAGUGGUGACGGGUAAUGAAAGUUCAGAAAAGUUGGCUUCCAAAAUCCAUCCUUACUACACAAAAUAUGUGGAGGUGUACUGGUUAGUAAUGCAGAACCUCUGGCCCCACCUGAGGUCUGCUGAGUCAGAAUCUGCAUUUUAGGGAGAUUCCUACCUCCUUUGUGCUAUACCUCCUAUCCCAUCCUCAAGAUGGCUACACAUAUUAAAUUUAAGAGGUAUGGAUUUAUGGCAUACUCUCCUAUAAGCUUGGAAAGCAGGACUCAAUCAACUCCCCUAAGCCACUGGUAAACAGGGCUCCUGGACCUGUAAAACUGGUCCCCACCCUCAGAUAAUGCUGACCUGGGACGCCACUCACCCCCUCCAUUUGAGCAGCCAACAGCUUCCACUUCAACAUCUUUUCUUUCCAUGUGCAAAACAGGCUCUCCUUAAAUUAGAGUGAGCCACGCUGUAAGACUUGUUUGCUGCAACAGUGAAGACAGUCCUGCCUUGGAUUCAUCCAAGUGUGUACAAUGAGGCUCAUAAAAUCAUUGUAUUAUUUGAACACAGAAUAAAAUGGCCAUGUGCGGUAAAUGCUGUUGACUCAUCUUUAUUCAUUAUCCAAUGCUGCAAAACCAGCCCAACUCCUGCCCUCAUCCUGCCUGGGCUUCUUGCACACCACUGCCGGCAGUAUGCAAAGGCUAUUUCCAUCCAUCCCCUUCCUCCUCUGCUGUCUUGUGGUGGGGCGCUCCUCUGUUUUUAUGAAGCCGUGUCAGCCACCAGUAGAGCACCAGCUCUUGCUGCCUGAUGCUGUUUGAAGCUCAGAUGGUUUUCAGGAAGCACUGAGUGAGAGGAAGGAUGGGCAGCCAGCACCAGCUGAGCACCUAUGGAGCUCGGCAGUCGCCAAACAUUCUCUGCUUUUCAGGAACUUAGAUUUGAAUUGGGAUGGAGUGGGGCGAGGUGGGGGGACAUGAAAAGAUUUGUAUAUGAAUUUGAGAAAUUAAAUAGCGACUUAGCUUCUAAAACAAUGGUGGCAAUGUCACAGAGCAGGAAAGGAGCAGGGGGCACACAAGGGAUAAGGACAGAGUGUUAUCAACUCUGAGAGGGCAAGGGCACAGUCCUGGGGAGGUCAGGGAGGCUCCCUUGUCAGCUUCCCUGCUCUCUGUCUCUAAUAUAAUAAAAUAGGAAAAAUUAAAUUCCUCUCACCCUCCAGUGUCUCUUUGCUCAUUUGCCCUUUCCUUCCCAAGAGAGCAGCCAACAUGCCACCCUGCCACAUGGCUCAGUCACCCUCUCCCCCAGUAGAUGUUUUCUGUCCCUACAUCCCCACAAAAACACUUCUCCCCAAGGUUACCAAUGUCCUAAUUGCCAGAUACACUGAGCCAAAUGGCACCAGUUCUUUACAGGCUUUAUCUUAUUUGAUUGUUCUCGAUAUUUGGCACUGUGGACCACUCCUCCUUCCUGAAACCCUCCCUUCCCACGACUUCCUUGCCAACAGCAGUUCAAUUCAACUCCACCUGCAAAUAUUUCUUGCCUUCUCACUACAUGCCAAUCACUGUUGUAGGCACUGGGACAACAAAAAUGAUUAACAAUUGACCCCAUACUUCAAGGAGCUUCCUUCUGGUCCCACGUAGAAGGACUUCAGAAAAACAGAGCCUUGCAAAAACAAAGGGAAAGUUCCAUACUAGCUGUGUACACAUGGGGAACGCAUUAGGGGCUGCCAACUAAUCUCCCCCUAGAGGGAAGGGGCUGAGUUUGCUGGACGCCAUCCAUCCUGGAUGUUUUCCCACCUUCCAGUCCUUCCUGUGGUCUCACUCUGCUUUCCAUUAGCUGCUUGUAUUCCCUGAGGUUCUCUCCUUAGCUCUCCUCUCUUUUCACUCCAUACUCUCCAAUCUCAUCUACACACAGGACUUCAGCUACCUCUCCUAUCUUGAAAAUUCUCUAACCUUUAUCUCUAGACAAGCCAGUGUCCUAAGUUCUCAAUUCAUGUAUUCAAAUUCUAUACCACUUAGCAUUCCUUCCUAACAACAUCAAAAAGAUCAAAAAGUUAGAGUAUCUUGAAGAAGUUAGAAGAAAUGUAUUUCUCUAUUAGAUACCCAGCCUCCUUUCAGCUCUUGCUUCUGCCAUCAUCAAGUUUGCCUUCUGGACCAAUAUGGCUGCUGGAGUUCCACCCAUCAUGUCCACAUUCCAGGCAGCAGGAAGGAUAAAGGGAUCUGAAUUCCUCCUGACAAUGAACACACCAGACUAGCCCUGUUCUGCCUAACUCUGGAUUUAUUUUCUGUAACAGAAAACUAAACUUUUACCUUAACCAGAUAAUGAGAAUUGUCCCAAUUGUCUAUGAGCAAACAAACCCCAAAUAUAAUGGCAUAAAAUAACCACCAUCUGAUUACACCCACAGAUUCUAUGGGUCAGGAAUUUAGAAAGAACACAGCAAGGACAAUUCUUAUUCAUGUGUGGGGCCUCUGCAGAAAUGACUUGAACUGCCUGGGGAGGACUCAGAUGCCGGGGGUCUAGAAUAGCCGGAGCCAAAGGAUCUACCUCUGAGAUGGCUCUUUCAUUCACAUGUCUGGUGCCUGGGUGAGAAAGGCCAGGAGGGAUAAAGGACAGGCUCAGUUUGAUUGACUGUCAGAGCACCUUCAUGUGGCCUCCCCAGCAUGGUGGUUUCAAGAUAACCAACCUUCUUAAAUGGCAGCUCAGGGCUCCAAGAGUAAAUGUUAUAUAGUGGCAGGUGCAUGGUAUAUUAUGAUCUAGUGUCAGAAAUCACAGACAUCACUUCCACAGUACUCUUGGCAGAAGCACUCACAAGCCAACCUAGAUUUAAGUGGAGGGGACAAACAUCCCAUCUCAAUCGGAGGCAUGUCAAAAAAUAUGUGUGGCUAUAUUUCAAAUUCCAGCCUGCUGUAAUUGAAUCCUUUUUUUUUU
rnacentral:lncRNA from 1 species